rnacentral:pre_miRNA from 1 species
AGGUCAAGACAGGCUGCAAUAGUGUUUGUUGUGUCACAUUGCACUUGUCCUGGCCUUA